AGCAUAAUUGGCAUGAUGAGUUGCUCCAAACUCUUUUUUUUGCCAGGUUAUCAACCGUUAGAAUCUUGUUGCUGUAGCUGAGCCAUCCAAAAACUUUCACCUUUUACAGGAUUGGCAACCUCCAAAGGGACUUUUCAAGAGAAGAUCUGACUCCUCCAUGAAUAAGGAAGUCGUAACAACCCAGGACCUCACCCAAAAUG
rnacentral:lncRNA from 1 species